rnacentral:rRNA from 1 species
UAAUACGGGGGGUGCGAGCGUUGUCCGGAAUCACUGGGCGUAAAGGGCGCGUAGGUGGUUUGAUAAGGGUGUGGUGAAAGUCCGGGGCUCAACCCCGGAUCUGCCGUGCCGACUGUCAAACUCGAGGACUGUAGAGGCAGACGGAAUUCCGGGUGUAGCGGUGGAAUGCGUAGAGAUCCGGAGGAAGACCGGUGGCGAAGGCGGUCUGCUGGGCAGUUUCUGACACUGAGGCGCGACAGCGUGGGGAGCAAACAGGAUUAGAUACCCUGGUAGUCCACGCCGUAAACGAUGGGCACUAGGCGUCGGGGGGAGCGACCCUCCCGGUGCCGUCGCUAACGCAGUAAGUGCCCCGCCUGGGGAGUACGGCCGCAAGGCUG